ACGAACGUUGGCGGCGCGUCUAAGGCAUGCAAGUCGAGCGGAUUUUAUAACGUAGCAAUACGUUGUGAGAUUAGCGGCAAACGGGUGCGUAACACAUUGGUAAUCUACCCUCCAGUCGGGCACAACCACGCGAAAGCGUGGCUAAUUCCACGAUGGACAUGCGGAGGCUAUGUCAUUCGCAUGUAAAGCGCAAAACGCGCUGGAGGAGGAGCCUAUGGCCCAUCAGCUAGUUGGCGGGAUAAAAGCCCACCAAGGCUACGACGGGUAGGGGGUGUGAGAGCACGACCCCCCUCACUGGGACUGAGAUACUGCCCAGACACCUACGGGUGGCUGCAGUUAAGAAUAUUCCUCAAUGGCCGAAAGGCUGAAGGAGCGACGCCGCGUGCGGGAUGAAGGGCUUCGGCUCGUAAACCGCUUUUAUUUGGGACGAAUUCUGACGGUACCAAAUGAAUAAGAGGUUGCUAACUCUGU
rnacentral:rRNA from 1 species